GCACCCCCACAGGCAAAAAAGUCAGGUCUCCUGUGGCGGCUGUAUUUGCUCUGGCCAGGAGCAUUAGCAAAGCUGCGCUCUCGGUCUUUGGGACGGGUGGGUAGCUGGCAGUGGCUGGGUCCCCUCGCGGUCGCUUGCCUGCUCUCCUGGCUGGUGUCUCCUUUCUCUUUUACUGCUUCUUGCUCGAGGGGCUGCUCCUCUGUGGCUCCUGUGGUGCCGAAGAGCCUCACUAUUUCUCUGCCUCGUGGUUUGCUUGCCCCCUCCAGUACUUUCCUGAUGCUGGUCCCUUCUCCCAUUGCRGGUCACUUGGUAUCUCUCGAUCCUCUGCCCCUAUGCCUUGUAACGUUCUUCAGCUCCGUGGAUUUGACAGUUGCUGUAUGCCCAUGGGGAUCGUGUUCAGGGUCACUGUCAGUUCCUUAAGGGAAGCCUACGCUCUGAGAAGGUGUCUCAGUGUUGUUGCAGCAGUCAGUCCUGUGCUGCUCCUGCCUCCCCGAAGUCUGGAAGCGGUAUCUUCUAGGUGUGGCGGCUGUGCCAGCUCCAUCAGUGGCAAAUCAAUUCCCGUAGUCCGUUUGAUCCUGUGGUCAACCAAAAACACAACUGAACCAAAUAAACCACCCUGAAAAGUGUUUUCUCCGUGUAUUGCUUGAGUUCURGAAAAGGUGCAGCACUUAAAAAUUGAAUACAGC
rnacentral:lncRNA from 1 species